AGCGAACGCUGGCGGCAGGCCUAACACAUGCAAGUCGAACGAAACCUUAGGGGUUAGUUGCGGACGGGGGUGUCGAAUGUGGGAACGUGCCUUUAGGCUCGGGAUAACACUGGGACAUUUGGGCUAACAUAGGAAGAGUUAUUCGGAGGCCAGAUUCAUCGCCGUUAGAGCGGCACGCGUCCGUUUAGCUAGUUGGUUGUGGAAAUGGCGAACCAAGGCGACGAUCAGUAGCUGGUCUGGGAGGAAGAACAGCCACAUUGGGACUGAGACACAGCCCAAACUCCUACGGGAGGCAGCAGUGGGGAAUCUUGCGCAAUGGGCGAAAGCCUGACGCAGCCAUGCCGGGUGAAUGAUGAAGGUCUUAGGAAAGUGAAGUUCUUUCACCGGGGACGAUAAUGACGGUACCCGGAGAAUAAGCCCCGGCUAACUUCGUG
rnacentral:rRNA from 1 species